UGGGGAAUAUUGCACAAUGGGGGGAAACCCUGAUGCAGCGACGCCGCGUGGAGGAAGAAGGUCUUCGGAUUGUAAACUCCUGUCGUUGGGGACGAUAAUGACGGUACCCAACAAGAAAGCCACGGCUAACUACGUGCCAGCAGCCGCGGUAAAACGUAGGUGGCAAGCGUUGUCCGGAAUUACUGGGUGUAAAGGGAGCGCAGGCGGAAGGACAAGUUGGAAGUGAAACCCACGGGCUCAACCCGUGAACUGCUUUCAAAACUGUUUUUCUUGAGUGGUGUAGAGGUAGACGGAAUUCCUAGUGUAGCGGUGAAAUGCGUAGAUAUUAGGAGGAACACCAGUGGCGAAGGCGGUCUACUGGACGAUAACUGACGCUGAGGCGCG
rnacentral:rRNA from 1 species